rnacentral:rRNA from 1 species
UACAGAGGUCUCAAGCGUUGUUCGGAUUCAUUGGGCGUAAAGGGCGCGUAGGCGGCUAGGUAAGUCAGGUGUGAAAUCUCGGGGCUCAACUCCGAAACUGCACUUGAUACUGCCUUGCUAGAGUACUGGAGAGGAGAGUGGAAUUUACGGUGUAGCGGUGAAAUGCGUAGAUAUCGUGAGGAAGACCAGUGGCGAAGGCGAAUCUCUGGACAGGUACUGACACUGAGGCGCGAAAGCCAGGGGAGCAAACGGG